rnacentral:lncRNA from 1 species
AAAACUUCAAAACCAAAACAAACAUUUUGCUCAUAACUAGAUUAUAAGUUUAUUUAUCUAAAUACGAGAAUCGAGAUUUCAAAGCUCCAAAUGGCUUUAAGCGGUCAAGUGGACUUUAAAAAAAGUUGUACCCAUAGCCAACGGCAUUCUACUUGUCCUGUGUUUUAGUUUGGUUCCAAAACCAUCGAAAUAUCUCGCAACGCACUGCCUUCGUUGAGUCAGCUGGAAGAGCUAGUAACCUUCUUGGAAAGCAAACCAUGUUUGAGUAUGGGCCAUGCUCGUACUGCGAAUGCGAGCAUGCAUGCUUGCAUGCAUGAUCCGAAAACAACAGCCCUAAACAGUGAAGUAGUGGGGUAUGAAAAUAUUGGAGCAGUGGUGUAAGUACCUACUGGAAGGACAAAAAGGAGCAAUUCAGAGGAAGUCCAGUUCUAUUGCAGCUGCAAGCCAACAUGAAGAAUUUGCCAGAACUUGGUGUAAUCAAGUUAAAAAAUUAAAUUAUAAAUUUAAAAAAACCCCCGACCCAAAAAAA